rnacentral:rRNA from 1 species
GACGAACGCUGGCGGCACGCCUAACACAUGCAAGUCGAACGGUGAAGAGAAGCUUGCUUCUCGGAUCAGUGGCGGACGGGUGAGUAACAUGUGAGGAACCUGUCUUUCAGAGGGGGAUAACGUUUGGAAACGAACGCUAAUACCGCAUAACAUAUUCGGACGGCAUCGUCUGAAUAUCAAAGGAGCAAUCCGCUGAAAGAUGGCCUCGCACCUGAUUAGAUAGUUGGUGAGGUAACGGCUCACCAAGUCGACGAUCAGUAGCCGGACUGAGAGGUUGAACGGCCACAUUGGGACUGAGACACGGCCCAGACUCCUACGGGAGGCAGCAGUGGGGGAUAUUGCGCAAUGGGGAAACCCUGACGCAGCGAUGCCGCGUGGAGGAAGAAGGUUUCGGAUUGUAAACUCCUGUCUUCAGGGACGAUAAUGACGGUACCUGAGGAGGAAGCUCCGGCUAACUACGUG